GCUGGGAGAGGAGAGGUGAAGCAACCCAUCUCGCCAAAAGGCUCCAAGGACAGAAGUAAUUAGGGCACAUGUGACGGCAACAGGCAUGGCCAAUUUGGGGAUGGGGUGCGGUUCCAUGUCUACAUGAAGAAACAAUGGAGGUGCAGAUGGUGUAAACAUGGGCAAGGCAGGGGAAGUCCUAGCUCAGAACAGAGGAACCUUGGAGAGAGUCACUUGCACCUGCUGGAAUUCCAGGAUUAUAGAGAUGACCCAAGAGACUUCAAGAUGAUUCUCUGUGCUCUAUGGUGGCAGAGAAGAAAAAUCAAGUGCCAUGUCUGGAAGUGCUCUUGGUUAAUAGGAAAAAGAGGGUGAUAACCAUGCUUGGCUAAAGAUCAUCGCCUGGAUUGGUGCAGAAAUAAGUGUGUGAUCUCAGCCUGGGCCAAUCGAGUCCGCCAAGCCUUUUCUGUUGGUGCUCUCAGUGAAGACAGUUUCCGACCACUCGAAUUGCCAAGGUCAAUCUGGUCUCCCAGGUGGUAAGAAUCCAGCUGGGAAACAUCUUUGGGGAGAAAGAGCUGUAUUGACAUCACUCUUGCCUCCUGCUCCCACACUGCCUGAGGCAGACCAACCCUGGCUUUUCAGCUCCAAGAGGCAAGCUUUCUUCAAGCUCAGCUCAUAUUCUCCUCUUCCAAGAAGCCUGCUUGUCUUGCCCUGUCAUCUGCAUAGACAAUUCAGGUGGCCUUGCCUUGCGCUCUCUGUAAUACUACAGAUGUUUUGGGGAAGUUAUUCAACAGCUAUCUAUGGAGGGCUGCUCUGAGGCGGUGUGUCAGUGAACAUGGGAGAAAAGUGCUCUCAGGAGUGUCCGCCUGAGUGUGGGGAGAGACACGGCAAGUGAACAAAUACUCAGAACAGGCCAUUUUGAUGAUGGGGAACAUGCUAGGCUCGAACAACAGAAUGAAGACUGAUGGAGAGGAAGCUGGCGGAGCCGAGGCUGGGGAGGCAGAGAACACUUCAGUGAGGAGACACAGUCAACCAACCCUCCUGAUAGAGCCAACAAGGGGGCAGAGAAGCAGCCACUGCUUCAACAGCACGGAGGUGACGAGAGCGCUUUAGAGGAGUCUUGAUAAUGGAAUCCCAACUGGAGUUUUCGAGGCUGGAAAUUCUAUGGCAAGAUUUCUCCUGAGGCCAGCCGCUGCCUUCCCCGGUGUCUCCCGCUGACAAGGACACUGAUCAGAUUGGACUAGGGCCCACCCCUGUGACUUCAUGGAACCUCCGUAACCUCCUUAGAGGCCCUAUCUGGAAAUAUGGCCACAUCUCAGGUGGGGCCCUACAGUGCUCUCAUCUGCAACCUUGGGACUGGUCAUGAUGCCUGGACCCACCCCCGCCUGAGUGGCUCUGUGACUGCAGGGGCACCACCCCACGGCACCCAGUCUUUCAGAGAGGGAUGUGAAGGUGGGAGUUCCAGUUUUCAGAAGCAGCCACACCGCUCUCUUACUCUCCCAAGAAGGUUCCUCCCGGCACAGUUCCACCCAGAGAGGUGUCAUGACGCCUUGGCAAGACGGCGGCUCAGCCUCAGGUGGCUCCAGCACCUUGGUCUACUCGGGAUGACACGACAGCACCCCGCAGCCUGGGUGGCUCGUCCACAUUUAUGUCUCACACUUCUGGAGGCUGAGACUUCAAGAUCACGGCACUAGUAGGCUUGGUGUCUGUGGAGGUCCCUUCCAGCGCAGAGAGGGCGCCUCUGGUGCACUGCACAUGGUGGGAUCCACCGGCUCCCCCUUUUGUAAGAGCACUGAUCACAAUCGUGAGGGCUCAUGACCUAGUCACAGCCCAGGCCCUACCUCCCGGGGGUGCCAAGGGGAGACACAAACAUCCAGACCACCACACCAGGUGCACACCCCACUUCCGGGUACUCUGUCCUUGAAUCUCUCACUUUGCUUUUUUGCACUUCAGAGGCCUCAACUACACACUAGAAAACCCACUCCUACCUCACUGGAUGGGUAUGAGAAUUCAAAUUCUUCAUAACCAGACUCAUUUCUAGAAAAGGAUUUGAGAGUCAGGUGAUGGAGGUGUUAGAUGUAAGUGACCUUGCCAUCAGAAUCCCGCUGCCAUUUGUCCCACGCUGACUCAGCGGCAGGCACAGGUGUAAGUACUUGGCACCAUUUAGCUGGAUGGCCACAAUGACGCCGUGAGCUGGGCACUGCUAUCACCUGCAUUUGACAGAUGUGCAAACCAAGGCGCAGAGAGAUUAUGUAACUUUUCUGAGGCGGCACCGCUAGUAGGCAGCAGAGCUGGAAUUUUGCCCUGGAGCCUUCCAUGCCAUGCUGCCACAGUAACCACACAGUAAACGGUGAAUUCUGGGUCAGGGGUGCUGAUGGCAUGAGUGCCCAGCCCGGCCCCUCUCUGGAGAACCAAUCUGGAGACAUCCAGUGAUGUCAGGGCAGGAUGCCUUGUACUCUGGCAUGCAAAUGGGGAACAUGCAGCAAGGGUGAAGGUCACACCCAGGCAACCCCUGCCCCAUGGGGUGGGGAGUAGGGGUGGAAAGACAGACAGGAGGGAAGGAAAAAGCCCAGGAAGAGGACAUUCUGGAACACUGGGACACUAAUACCCAUCGGGAGCCUCAGGGGGCUGAGUCACCCGGAGAGGGAAGUGGAGCUGUUGGAAUGGAGGACACUUGAUGUUGAGACUUGCCCUUCUACUUAGGCCGUGGCAGCCUCAGUGAGUCACUUGUGCCGUCUCUGAAAUGGUGACAGACGGUAGAGCCGCUCGGUGGCAAGUGUGUGCACAGAGGGCCUGCGGAACCAGAAGCGGCAGCUGCUGCUCUGUUGUCUACUUGGCCAAGGAUGUGUUCAUUUAAACUUUCUCAAUACACUUUGCUGUUUGAAGGGAAA